UACGAAGGGGGCUAGCGUUGCUCGGAAUCACUGGGCGUAAAGCGCACGUAGGCGGCUUGUUAAGUCAGGGGUGAAAUCCUGGAGCUCAACUCCAGAACUGCCUUUGAUACUGGCGAGCUUGAGUUCGGGAGAGGUGAGUGGAACUGCGAGUGUAGAGGUGAAAUUCGUAGAUAUCGGGAGGAACACCAGUGGCGAAGGCGGCGACCUGGGCCAAUAUUGACGCUGAGGUGCGAAAGCGUGGGGAGCAAACAGG
rnacentral:rRNA from 1 species